rnacentral:rRNA from 3 species
GGACUACCAGGGUAUCUAAUCCCGUUUGCUCCCCUGGCUUUCGCGCCUCAGCGUCAGAAGAGGUCCAGCAGAUCGCUUUCGCCACCGGCGUUCCUUCCGAUAUCAACACAUUUCACCGCUCCACCGGAAGUUCCAUCUGCCCCUACCUCGCUCGAGCUUGCUAGUAUCGAAGGCAAUUUUCCGGUUAAGCCGAAAGAUUUCACCCCCGACUAUGCAAGCCGCCUACGCGCCCUUUAAGCCCAGUGAUUCCGAACAACGUUCGCACGGUUCGUCUUACCGCGGCGGCUGGCAC